GCCAGUGUGGUGACGUCACCACGUCAAUGUCCGCUCCACUGUCACUGGCGCUGCAGCUGCGUCGCCUCCUCGCUCGCAGAGAAUCAGCGGCGGCCGCAGAGGAAGAGGCUGCCCAUGAGUGUGACUCUGGUAGCGCUGCGCCUUGAGCUCAGCCCGGACUCAAACUUCCCCUCCCACUUCCAUCGCUGCCACUCGUCUGCGUGGUGACGUCGUCACGCAAGAGCGUGCGUGGU